GAUGAACGCUGGCGGCGUGCUUAACACAUGCAAGUCGAGCGAUUCGGAUCUUCGGAAGUUUUCGGAUGGAAGAGGAUUUGACUUAGCGGCGGACGGGUGAGUAACGCGUGGGUAACCUGCCUUACACUGGGGGAUAACAGUUAGAAAUGACUGCUAAUACCGCAUAAGCGCACAGGGCCGCAUGGUCCGGUGUGAAAAACUCCGGUGGUGUAAGAUGGACCCGCGUCUGAUUAGGUAGUUGGCGGGGUAACGGCCCACCAAGCCGACGAUCAGUAGCCGACCUGAGAGGGUGACCGGCCACAUUGGGACUGAGACACGGCCCAAACUCCUACGGGAGGCAGCAGUGGGGAAUAUUGGACAAUGGGCGAAAGCCUGAUCCAGCGACGCCGCGUGAGUGAAGAAGUAUUUCGGUAUGUAAAGCUCUAUCAGCAGGGAAGAAAAUGACGGUACCUGACUAAGAAGCCCCGGCUAACUACGUGCCAGCAGCCGCGGUAAUACGUAGGGGGCAAGCGUUAUCCGGAUUUACUGGGUGUAAAGGGAGCGUAGACGGUUUAGCAAGUCUGAAGUGAAAGCCCGGGGCUCAACCCCGGUACUGCUUUGGAAACUGUUAGACUUGAGUGCAGGAGAGGUAAGUGGAAUUCCUAGUGUAGCGGUGAAAUGCGUAGAUAUUAGGAGGAACACCAGUGGCGAAGGCGGCUUACUGGACUGUAACUGACGUUGAGGCUCGAAAGCGUGGGGAGCAAACAGGAUUAGAAUACCCUGGUAGUCCACGCCGGUAAACGAUGAAUUAUUAGGGGUCGGGGGGGCAAAGCCCUUCGGGUGCCGCGGCAAACGCCAAUAAGUAUUUCCCCCUGGGGAGUAGUUUCGCAAGAAUGAAACUCAAAGGAAUUGAGGGGGACCCCGCACCAAGCGGUGGAGCAUGUGGUUUAAUUCGAAGCAACGCGAAGAACCUUACCAAGUCUGGACAUCCCACUGAAAACACUUUAACCGGUGUCCCUCUUCGGAGCAGUGGAGACAGGUGGUGCAUGGUUGUCGUCAGCUCGUGUCGUGAGAUGUUGGGUUAAGUCCCGCAACGAGCGCAACCCUUAUCCUUAGUAGCCAGCGAGUAGAGUCGGGCACUCUGGGGAGACUGCCAGGGAUAACCUGGAGGAAGGUGGGGAUGACGUCAAAUCAUCAUGCCCCUUAUGAUUUGGGCUACACACGUGCUACAAUGGCGUAAACAAAGGGAGGCAAAGGAGCGAUCUGGAGCAAACCCCAAAAAUAACGUCUCAGUUCGGAUUGCAGGCUGCAACUCGCCUGCAUGAAGCUGGAAUCGCUAGUAAUCGCGAAUCAGAAUGUCGCGGUGAAUACGUUCCCGGGUCUUGUACACACCGCCCGUCACACCAUGGGAGUUGGUAACGCCCGAAGUCAAAGACCCAACCGCAAGGAGGGAGCUGCCGAAGG
rnacentral:rRNA from 1 species